ensembl:lncRNA
ACAUAUCAGAAUGUUACUGCAGUACAUAUCAGAAUGUUACUGCAGUACAUAUCAGAAUGUCCCUUCUGUGUCUCUGAUAGGAUUAUAACAUGCUGUUACUGCAGUACAUGUCAGAAUGUCACUGCAGUACAUGUCAGAAUGUUACUGCAGUACAUAUCAGAAUGUUACUGCAGUACAUACCAGAAUGUUACUGCAGUACAUAUCAGAAUGUUACUGCAGUACAUAUCAGAAUGUUACUGCAGUACAUAUCAGAAUGUUACUGACAGUACAUAUCAGAAUGUUACUGACAGUACAUAUCAGAAUGUUACUGACAGUACAUAUCAGAAUGUUACUGCAGUACAUAUCAGAAUGUUACUGCAGUACAUAUCAGAAUGUUACUUCUGUUACAUAUCAGAAUAUUACUGACAGUACAUAUCAGAAUGUUACUGCAGUACAUAUCAGAAUGUUACUGCAGUACAUAUCAGAAUGUU